UACGUAGGUGGCAAGCGUUAUCCGGAAUUAUUGGGCGUAAAGAGCGCGCAGGUGGUUAAUUAAGUCUGAUGUGAAAGCCCACGGCUUAACCGUGGAGGGUCAUUGGAAACUGGUUGACUUGAGUGCAGAAGAGGGAAGUGGAAUUCCAUGUGUAGCGGUGAAAUGCGUAGAGGUAUGGAGGAACACCAGUGGCGAAGGCGGCUUCCUGGUCUGUAACUGACACUGAGGCGCGAAAGCGUGGGGAGCAAACAGG
rnacentral:rRNA from 1 species